rnacentral:rRNA from 1 species
GAUGAACGCUAGCGGGAGGCCUAACACAUGCAAGCCGAGCGGUAUUUGUUCUUCGGAACAGAGAGAGCGGCGUACGGGUGCGUAACACGUGUGCAACCUACCUUUAUCAGGGGAAUAGCCUUUCGAAAGGAAGAUUAAUACUCCAUAAUAUAUUGAAUGGCAUCAUUCGAUAUUGAAAACUCCGGUGGAUAAAGAUGGGCACGCGCAAGAUUAGAUAGUUGGUGAGGUAACGGCUCACCAAGUCAAUGAUCUUUAGGGGUCCUGAGAGGGAGAUCCCCCACACUGGUACUGAGACACGGACCAGACUCCUACGGGAGGCAGCAGUGAGGAAUAUUGGACAAUGGGUGAAAGCCUGAUCCAGCCAUCCCGCGUGAAGGAUGACGGUCCUAUGGAUUGUAAACUUCUUUUGUGUAGGGAUAAACCUAGAUACGUGUAUCUAGCUGAAGGUACUAUACGAAUAAGCACCGGCUAACUCCGUGCCAGCAGCCGCGGUAAAACG